GGUUCCGUAGUAGUGGUUAUCACGUUCGCUUCACACGCGAAAGGUCUCCGGUUCGAUCCCGACAGAACCC
rnacentral:tRNA from 1 species